ACUUCUAGACCAGCCAGUCUGGUGCAUAUUGUGGCAAAACAAGGGACUCAGACUCAGGCAAGGUGAACAUUGAGGACCGACAACUAAGGUUGUCCUGACCUCCACAUGGGUACCAUGGCAGGAGUAUAGCUGCACUUACACAUGAACACAUGGGGUACAGGUGCAAAGACUAACGCAUACACUAGGCCUGGGGAAAAGCAGGUCCUUGCAUAAGGGUUGUGAGAGCCAUGAGUUGACAUUUUCAGAACACAAUCUCUAGAUUUUAAAGGCCUGGAUGGCUAGUACUUUGGUGACACACUUCCUAAUCAUUCAUAUGACACAGCAGGUGAAGGGGUGGAUGAGGGCAGUGCCUCUCUUUCAGCUGGAAGGACUCAUCCAUAAAGAAUGACUGAGACAGAGAUUUUAUUGUUGGCCUUGGCAGAGCAAUCUGAUCUCCUACCUGGAAAUGGACUCUUGUUAUCCCGGCAUUUGGGGAGCCCUAUUCUGGAUGUGUCUUUUGGGGAGACAGAGUUUGUUGGCCAAGAGCAUAGGUUUAGGAGGUGGAUGUGCCAAUCCAAGCACAGUCACUUGCUUCAUGAUUUUAAACAAAUAACUAUUCCCUCUGAAUGUCCGAUUUCUUAGCAAUAAAGCCAGGAUGUUUUCUCUCGUUAUUUAACUCAAAAUCCCAAUCUUGUAGCUUUGUUGCUUAAAGUCAGACACAGCUUCCCAUUUCUCAGAAUAAAACCCCAGGUCCUUACACCAGCUGACAAUAUCCCAUGCUUUCCUCAUUCCUUGACCCCCCCUCCCCUCCUUCCAGGUCUUGAUACAGUCACAUUGGCUACUGGGUUGUUCCCCAUGCAUUUAUUCUAGUCAUGCCCCAAUUUCAGACUCCUUGUGUUCUCUGGCUGUGUCUUCCUCCUCCUACCCGUCCCCCACCCACUCCCCAAAUAGCCUCAUAGCCUGUAAGAGUCACUCUGCUGACUGAAGUGACAGUGGGUCUGAGUUAGGUCCUCUGCAUAUGUGUUAUGAUUGUAUAGCUUGGUGUUCUUGUGGGACACCUAAGAGUGGGAGUGGGAGUAUCCCUGACUCUUUUGUCUGAUUUGUAGACCCUCUUCCUUCUCCUGGGUUGUCUCAUCCAGCCUUGCUAUGAGGGUGCUGCACAAGAAACUAGAGGACAGCAGGCUAAGUCAUCACUACCUUACUCAUCGAGAGUCCAGGCAGUAGAAACCUAAGCGAAAAUGUCCUGUUGUGUCAUCGUUCACUGAUGAAAGUGUCAAGAAGAUAACUGAAGUCUAAAUACAUCGUGCCACCUAACCAUACAACCAGCCUAGUAAUUGACAGAGCUGAAGGUCAAGCCACAGCAGGGAUUGUACUGGCCAAGUCCAAAGUCCAACCCAGUAUCUAUUGGCAAACUACUUCACUCCAUCCCGUGACUCACUCUGAAGACUAGAGCAAGGAGAUGGUCAAACACGAAAGCAUUCAGAUUACUGACAUAUUUACCAGGCAAAUUGCAUCAACUCUACAAUGUUAUUAAUCUUGUAAACACUCUUAUUUCGUGUAAUCUAAAGACCAAUGCUGUAAUUAAAACGAUAGAACAAUGCU
ensembl:lncRNA